AUAAUUAAAAGUAAAGGUCUUGUUCUUAAAGCAAGUCACUGCCAAGGCCAUUCAGGUGCCAGCUGGGCACCAAAGGAUGUGAACAUCUGCACAAGAAGAACAUAAAGAUGUCACCACCAAGGGAUAAGAAGAAAGUUCUGGCUGGGGUCUGAUACCACCUUGUA